rnacentral:rRNA from 1 species
CCUACGGGAGGCAACAGUGGGGAAUAUUGCACAAUGGGGGAAACCCUGAUGCAGCGACGCCGCGUGCGUGAAGACGUCUUUCGGUAUGUAAAGCUGUAUUAGCAGGGAGGAAAAUGACGAUACCUGAAUAUGAAGCACCGGCUAACUCCGUGCCAGAAGCCGCGGUAAUGCGGAGGGGGCAAGGGUUAUCCGGAUUUACUGGGUGUAAAGGGGGCGUAGACGGUUGUGGAAGUCAGAGGUGAAAGCCCGGGGCUCAACUUCGGGACUGCGUCUGAAACUGUGCGACUGGAGAGUAGGAGCGGUAGGCGGAAUGUAUGGUGUAGCGGUGAAAUGCGUAGAGAUCAUAAAGAACACCAGUGGCGAAGGCAGCUUAC